GGGGCUGGAGUGAGGGGGGGGCUGGCCUCUGCUCCCAAGUCACCAGUGACAGGGCGAGAGGGAACGGCCUCAGGCUGCGUCAGGGGAGGUUUGGGUUGGGUGUGAGGGGAAAUGUCUUCCCUGCCAGAGGGGUCAGGCCCUGGCACAGGCUGCCCAGAGAGGCGGGGGCGUCACCAUCCCUGGGACGGGGUUCAGACACCGUGCAGACGCGGCCCUCGGGGCCAUGGUUUAGGAGGCCUGGGGGGGGUUGGGUUGGGGGUUGGACUCGAUGAUCCCAGAGGCCUUUUCCAACCUCAACAGUUCCAUGACUCUGUGCUUCCCCCUCGGUGCCCUUCGCGCACCGGGCGCAGCCCUUGGGGCAGGGGCUCCACACCCCUCCCAGCGCCUCCGCCAAAGGUGCUAUUUCAAAUUCAGUAUUAGAAGUGAUUUGUCUUGUUUUGGGUUGUUGGUUUUUUUCUUUUAGGUGACUACUUUGCAGACCCAACCGUCCUUGUGUAACGCAGGCCCUGCUCAGAAAGGCUGGCUCAUGUUUACGCUAAGGCAAAACGAGCAGAAGGUCCCUGUCAGUCCAACAGUGCCAGGACAAACAGCCAUAGCCCUGGGGAGAGCGGCAGCUGUGACCCGCUGACCCGCCCUCCACGUCGAGCGCGUGUCUGGAGCGGCAGCUUUCGGCUCCAGCAAAAUACUAAUUUUCAUUUGCCGCCCCUCCUUUAUCAACUGGGUUGUACAUCCUCAUCCUGGGCAAAUUAACUUCGUGUACGCAUUUCGUUCUUCUCCAGUUGAGCUUCUUCUUGCCCAAACACAUCGUUACACGUGUACGGCCCGAACGGCAAAGGCUGCAGGUCGCGGUCAUCGCCUCAGGUCAGCAAACCUCGCGCUGGAUCACGGCAGCCGGCGCUGCGGAGCGGCCGCCCGGCUUUCUGUAAUCCCACAGGCGUAAUAUGGCUUUUCCUGCCUGGUUACUUGUUCUCUGUUAAAAUCUGCAAAUGCUUAUCCUGCGGCUUGGUAAAUAACUGCCCAAAAAAUGUCUUUUCAAGAAGUUUGUUGACUGAUUUCAUUCAUUUAAAAAAAAAAUAAAUAAACCAAACAAAUUAUGUACAAACUCUUUGUCCUCACUCGGGAAACAACAGCACCGUUACGUUACGAAGCCUUACAACGCACCGUAGCAAGAGUCGCGUCGUUCUUCGUUAAAACUCGUCGCGUAAAUUGGAACCUGGAACGCCAACGCAGCGGCUGGGCGAGCCGGCGUCCCCGGUUCGUGACGACCCUACCACCAUCACGUCCCCACAGCAAGACUGGACGUGGGAAGAAACGAAACUGGAGUGGAACAAAAGCACGAAUCAAGCAGAGGUCGUCUACGGUCUAGAGAUAAUAAAGGAACCACUGGCAAACACUUUUUCUCCGGAUAGGAUCAAAGCUGGGUUCAAAGGCUCCUACAAACCUCGUCUAAUACAGCAGCAAGCUUACGGCCGGGUCCUGCGGAUGCGAUAGCGACUGUAGGUGUACCGUCGAUGGCGAUAACCGGGACGCACCCUCUCCCCUCAGCAAAUAAACCCUUCGGGACUAUUUACAGGAACUUAGAAAACCCUGUCGUAAGGACAACUUACUGCCUUCGUAGGGAAGGUGAAAUAAAUCCUUUUUUUUUUUGCUGUUUGCGCCUCGUUUUUAAGCCACUUGGGAUCUUUUCCCGCCACAGUGGCCAAAACCGUUAAUUUGUUGGAAGACCGAGUCACCAGCCUCGUUUCCUCCGUCGGGUCCCUACAGACACACCACACUCACAGCGACCAGGUACGACUCCACUGGCAACAGGACACUAAACAAGGAUGCUCCACACGACAGACCACGGGCUCCCGACGCACACCUACGCUGGGGGCGCUCCCGUCCCGCCCGCCUUCCCCCGCCUCUCCCCGCCUCGGCGUCCGAGGGUCAGCGCGAUAUUGCUUGUCGAAGCUGUGGCGAGCCGGCAGCGGCGCCGAGGGCGUUAGCUCUUGCAGCCGGCGCCGUUCACGGGAACCUUGGACACGGUGGGGCAGUCGCUCCGGAAGGCGUCGAGGUCCGCGGCGGCGGUGGCUUCGGGGCCGGCGGUCGCCGUCCCCUGGGGCAGGCAGGCGCCCUGGGGACCCCCCUGGCUGCGCCCGCUGCGGGAGCAGUCGUGGUGCCCGUGGUUGCCCAAGCGGCUGGAAGCCACCACGGCUUUCAUGGCAGCCUGUUGCAAAGGCACAGCGACGCGAGCAGUUAUUAGCGCCUGUUUCUCCCCUUCGAUGCCGCUCAAGCCCCCGGCGCACGCGGAAGGGGAGGUGGUGCCUCUCCUUCAGCCAGACCGAGCCGGGAAGCCCAGCUCUGCCCCUUGGGCACGGCUUUUCCCCGGCAGCAGCUGCAAGGCGCCGCUCCAUCGCCCUUCACCCCCUCCAGGAGCCACCAUGUGUCACUAAACAUUUAUCUGCCCGGGGGAUCCUUAAAACCCGCCGACAGCGGCUCUCGGUGGCCCCAGCCAUUGGCACAAGGGGAGGCAAACACGAGCCACCCCCCGGGGGUUAACGGGGCUUUUUCACCUUACCUUCAGUUUCCUCCUGGCGUUAAAUUCCUGCAGUUUCUUCUGCGUGCUGUCCAUGUGAGCAAAUUUAGCGGCUUUCCCGGUGACCCAGGGAUGCUCCAGAGCCUGGUAGACAGUCAGUCUCUUCUGGGGGUCCAGGACGAUCAAUUUUCUGACCUGUAACCAAUUUCAGUCACACAAAACGGCCUAAUUUGUUAAAUGCCCCUCGUUCUGGUAUCUUUACAAGCAUUGAUCUGAAGGCUUCAUACUUGGCAGCCCCGAGCCCCGGCGCUCACCAAGUCCUUGGCGUUGAGGGAAACCUCAUCCCACCACGGGGACACGAACUCGUAGUCGCAGGUGAGGAUGCGGCUGUACAUGUACUGGUCCCCCCGCGGGUCGAAGAAAGGCUCGAAGCCACAGAGCCUGUGAGCACGGGAGAGAGGAGCUACGUGCCGCUGCCCGGGCCCCGUGGCGCGGCCGUGCCGGCGUUUGCCGGCUGCUCGCGGUGGGCUGAGGUGGUGCGAACCGUCCCCGCCGCCGCGGCUGCGUCGCCCGCGGGGCCCCGCCAGCGUUACUCACAGGAUGUAGGUGAUGACGCCCACGGACCACAUAUCCACUUCAGGGCCGUACGGGCACCCGUGGAGGAUUUCAGGGGCUGGAAGAAGAGUUUGGGGUUCAAAUGGACCGGUGUGGGAACCUCACAGCCAAGGGAACGUCCCCCUGGGCACCAUCGGCACCUCCCGAGCCCGGCGCAGCCAUCUGCCAUCCCUGCACCGAGCUGUGCACGGCCUCAGGCAGGGAUCAGCCUCCCCGAGUCUCCCUCCCACCCCCCUGGGCUCUCCUCGCCCGCUCACCGCAGUACCCCGGCGUCCCGCAGACGGUUUUCAUGGUGUCCUGUUCAUCCACGAUCUUGGAGAGCCCGAAGUCACCUUGGAGGGACACAGAGGGGAGGGGUGCCACCGUCAGGGAGAGGUGCCAUUAACCCUCCAUCCCACCACAACCCCCGCGGGGUGGGGGUCGCGACAAACCCACCGAUUUUAAGGGGAGCGUCGGGGGACAGGUCUGCGUAGAGCAGGUUCUCCGGCUUCAGGUCGCGGUGGACAACUCCGUUUUCGUGCAAAUACUACGGAGAGAGAGAAAGCAGGGAUGAAGGAGGGGAGGAUGGGGCAGGGAAGCCCCGUCUGCCGAAGGCGGCCGCAGCGAUCCGGGACCCGGCAUGAACACGCGACCAACCCGCCCAACUAUUUCUUUGGAAACACUCAACACCUGCAGUGCCAGGGCACGGGAAGGACAGUUCCUGUUAUGAAUUACCAUUUUUAAACCUUCCUGUUGCCAUAGAAACCACAUCUCCAGCCAACCUGUGAUGCAGAGUGGUGCUGAGCUUCCUCCCUCCUCUUCUUCAUCCCCCCCAAACGCAGAUUGGAAGAGGCACCUCCACCAGCAAUGCCUUCGGAGGGCUCUGGGGACCUCCUCGCUGGGCCACCCCCAGGUGCGUGCGGGGGGGUCGCGCCGGGGGCACGUUACCGAAACGGCUUCCAGGAUCUGCUUGACGACAUGGGCCGCAUCCCGCUCGCUGUAGAAACCCCUCUCCACGAUCCUGCGGGCACAGGGGGUCAGCGCGGCGGUGCCCUGCCCCGCACCGACCCCCCCCUCACUCCCCGUCCCCCCCAACCAUAGCGUGCAUCAACCCUACCCAUCCUCAUCCUCCCUGCACCAUCGGGGUGAGAUUUGUCCCUCCUCGUUAGGAGCGGGACGGGGACCGCGGGGCCGGCGUACCUGUCGAAGAGCUCUCCUCCCGUCACCAGCUCCAGCACCAGCGCGAUCUCGGAGGGCGUCUCGAAGAUCUCCUUCAGCUUGAUCUGAAAGGGGCGACAGGAGGGAUGCAGGACGCGGAGACCGGCUGUGCCAGGAGGAGCACGCGACCGCCGGGCUCUUUGUCGGCUGCGCUGGCACCUCGGGCGCCUCCGUCCAGCCCUGCGACCCCCGGCAGAGCCCUGCCCUCGUCCCUCCCGGCCGGAUCCUGCACAUCUGCAUCGGCGGGGAUGCAGGAGGGACGCGCAGAGCCCCGGGGGGCCAAAGCCACCUCUGGGACCGGGGCCCUGGGGCCCCUUGGGUGCCUUUGCAAACAUCCCUUGGACCAUUCUGCUGCGGAAGAGGCACUAAAGAAACAGCGGUUUUUCUCCUGAUUUUUGUGCUUUAGCUCCCAGGCGAGGUGAGCUUGUCUGCACAAGACCUUUGUGCCACUGCAGCGAAUCUGGAAUUAACAGGUCUCUCUUAAAACUACGUCAAAAUGCAUUAUUUUUUUUUUUUAAUGGAAAACAGAGAAUUUCAUGCUUCUUAAGACUUUUGUGACACUGCGAAUUUCAUGGGGCUUUAAUCAUUACCUUCAUAGGCUGGGUGACAAGCCGUGAUACCCCGCAGGGUGAGAGACACUAUGUGGCAGCUUAUUGCAUUAUAAUAAUACACGGAAGCACUAUAAUUUUCCUAUUAACUUCAAAAGUUUACAAUCCUAUUAUCAGCCGCUGUUGAGGUUGGUGCUGAACGAUAGCGAGCGCGCAGACGGCACCACCGUAAAUAAUGAAACGGAGCAUCUCCUCUUCGAAAAAUCACUUGAACUUGGGAGCGAGAAGAACCCUACGGAAAACUCGGUGAUUUAAGUAUUAAAACUGUCCAGCUGGUUCCUCCUCCGCGUCUCCGUGGUGCCGCUGCCUGGAGGGCGAAGGAGGAGGGAGGGCAGAAAUUGCGUUUUCUGUUGCGUUUCUGGUAACGCAUCGGAGAGGAGCCUCUCCCCGUCCACGGCCGACAGCGGCUGAGC